GUGCUCGCGGCCUAUCAGCUUGUUGGUGGGGUAAUGGCCUACCAAGGCUUCGACGGGUAGCCGGCCUGAGAGGGUGACCGGCCACACUGGGACUGAGACACGGCCCAGACUCCUACGGGAGGCAGCAGUGGGGAAUAUUGGACAAUGGGCGGAAGCCUGAUCCAGCAACGCCGCGUGAGGGAUGACGGCCUUCGGGUUGUAAACCUCUUUCAGUACCGACGAAGCGCCGAUGAUGGUGGUGACGGUAGGUACAGAAGAAGCACCGGCCAACUACGUG
rnacentral:rRNA from 1 species